CACCUUUUGUGCAAGGAAAGCAGCAGUUUUGGGACGGCUCUCCGGAGGGAGAAGUUACCCGUGAGGGGAUGGAAAGCUUGGGCUGAGUUGGAAGAUCUGAGCAAAACGUGGGUGAGAGGCAUUAAAAAGCAUUGAAAAGGAGUGAUUUCCCAGCAGGGAAAGGAGGGGAAGCUGCUUCCUGAUGCUGGCAGCAAAACUGCUGCGUCCUGCAUGAGAACUCUGCUGGUGGGCAUCUCCCCUCGCCCCUUCCCCAUCUGCCCUGCUGCAUCCACGUGGCUUGUUACCACCAUGUCAUCCUCUGUGUGAUCAUAAGAACUUGGUUUGGAGAAGAGCAGGCGCCAGGGUGACCUCAUUGUGAAUGCAUGGGGAAAAUAACAUGGCUUCAAGUGCAAGAAGAUUUUAGGAUAAAACUGACCAUUACUACAUGAGAGGCUGCAAGCUGGGAUCACACCCUAUGAGUGCAUCGAGUGUGGGAAGUGCUUUGGGUUCUUGCAGCUGCUCCAAGCUGUAAUCCUGCACCACCAGCCCUUAGGGAUCACUCAGGCAGAACUUCUGGGCACUGUAACCUGUGGGAUACUGGAGAAAUUGGGAUAAAUGCUCAUACAGUGCACCCCACGGCUUCCUCCUGUUCUAUGGCAAUGCUUCUCCUGCAUCCAUGUUCCUGGUGAAUGUAGAGCCCCAGGGUGGUGCACAAAGCUGCAAUGGGAUGUUGGUGUUCAAAGUUCUCCAGUUGUUUUCCUCAUUGCGAAAGGGGCAAAGUUCCUCAAACUAAAUUACUGCACCCUGGAGCUGAGCAGAGGUCGAAGCUGGGCAAAGCUCCUUCUCCCCUCCUUUUCUCCAGCACAGAUGCAUUCCGUAUUGGGCUGCAACCACCCCACUUCUGCCCUCCCCUGGAGGAUCCUCCUGCCUCUCAUGGCUCUGCACCUCCUCCGCCCAGGAUCAGCCCAGCUCAGGGUGGUGGCACCGAGCGCCCAUGUCACUGCCAUCGUGGGACAGGACGUCGUGCUACGCUGCCAGUUGUCCCCUUGCAAGGAUGCUUGGAGCUCAGACAUCAGAUGGAUCCAGCACCGGUCCUCUGGUUUAGUGCACCACUAUCAAAGUGGACAGGACCUGGAGCAGAUGGAGGAAUACAAAGGGAGGACAGAACUGCUCAGGGAUGGUCUCUUUGAUGGAAACCUGGAACUGCGCAUCACUGCUGUGAGAUCUUCUGACAGUGGCUCCUACAGCUGUGCUGUGCAAGAUGAUGAUAAUUACGCAGACGCUGUGGUGAACCUGGAGGUGUCAGAUCCCUUUUCCCAAAUCGUCCAUCCCUGGCAGGUGGCUCUGGCUGUGGUCAUCACACUUCUCAUUGGGUCAUUUGUCAUCAAUGCUUUUCUCCUUAGAAAGCAAGUGGCACAGAGCAGAAAGUUGAAGAGAAAAGAUGCAGAGUUGGAGACAAGCAAGGCAAAGUUGGAGACUCUAGCUGAAAGUCUGGACAUAAGUGAUGCUAAGUCGGAGCUACUAGCUGAAAAACAAAACAGAAGCAUGCAAUAUCGGAGACUCCAGCUAAAAAACAGAAGACAAGCAAGGCAACGUCGGACACUCUAGCUGAAAAACUGGAUGGAAGCAUGCAAAGUUGGAGAUACUAGCUGAAAAACUGGUGAGACGGGAUUCAAGCCAUCCUCAGUAUCCAAACUGAAGAGGUGUGGGUCCCGCACAUGUGAGCAUACAUGGGGCUGCGUGGGACGUCUGACCCAGAAAAAUAACCUGAAGAAUCGGACUGACAUUUUAAGUGCACCUUGCAAUAAUCACGGGUGUUAAACUUCCUAACCUCCUGAUCGCACAGGAUACCAAAACUGUGAUAACUAAAAGCAAGCAUGGUGACCCAAAGCAGGAAUGAGACAAGCCAGUGUCUGUAUUGAGUGAGAACACUGUGUCUCUGUGAGCCAAAGCUGCCUGAGGGACCAUUGAACAGAGGAUGGUGACCUCAAAAUGCAGCACAGCUGGAAGAAACAAACCAAAUAAGGGAAGAAAAUGGGUGGAGAUGGAGAUCCUGGAAAGAUACGGACAUUCUGGGGAAUGGUUUGACCAUGUACCAGGGCUUGUGGAACUCUAAUGAAUAUGCAAUGCCUCUGAAGAUAUAAACAUGCAUGCAGAAGCAGAGGCAGAGAACUGCUUUGGGUGUUAACACCGUUCUCUUUUGUAAAAUAAUAAAGGAUACCUGUAUGGUACUCAAUCAUUGACUGCUGUCAGUUAUUGGGGGUUUGGA